rnacentral:rRNA from 1 species
GAAGGGCCCUAGCGUUGCGCGGACUCAUUGGGCUUAAAGCGUACGUAGGCGGGCUUACAGGCGUUUUGUGAAAGCCCUCGGGCUCAACCGAGGAAUUGCUUGACGAACCGUAAGUCUUGAGGCAAGUAGGGGCUGUCGGAACGAUAGGUGGAGUGGUGAAAUGCGUUGAUAUCUAUCGGAACGCCGAAGGAGAAAUCAGGCAGCUGGGCUUGUCCUGACGCUGAGGUACGAAAGCGUGGGUAGCGAACGGGAUUAGAUACCCCGGUAGUCCACGCCGUAAACGAUGUGCACUAGAUCGAGGGGAUUCUGACAUCGCUCUCGGUCGAAGCGAAAGUGUUAAGUGCACCGCCUGGGGAGUACGGUCGCAAGGCUA